UACAGAGGGUGCAAACGUUGUUCGGAAUUACUGGGCGUAAAGCGCGUGUAGGCGGCACUGUUGGUCGGAUGUGAAAUCCCGCGGCUCAACCGUGGAAGUGCAUUCGAUACCGCAGAGCUAGAGUAUCGGAGAGGAAGGUGGAAUGCUUGGUGUAGAGGUGAAAUUCGUAGAUAUCAAGCGGAACACCGGUGGCGAAGGCGGCCUUCUGGACGAUUACUGACGCUGAGACGCGAAAGCGUGGGUAGCAAACAGG
rnacentral:rRNA from 1 species